CAUUAUUAGCGUCGUUUUAAAAGCCUCACUUAUGCUUUAUGUGGCUUUUUAAAACCGACGGUAAAGAUAUUGUGAGUGUGACAAAACGACGCUAAUCCUCCUAUUGUUCACUUACCCCCAAACAGAUGACACUUAUUUCAUUUCGAUCGAGCUCUCUUUUUCCCUCUCUUUUUCUCUGAACAGCGCUCUCUUUCCCUCUCUUUCUCUCUUGCGAUUUCGAAGGUGUAAAGGUGUCAAUGGAACUGCGAUUUGCCCUUUCAUUUUCACCUCUCGAGGGUCUCAGGUUGCUAUACUAGCAGCAUUUUUUGUUUACUUGGCAAUAGCUGGAUCUAUAUUGCCUGGAAAAAUUGUUCCUGGGGUUACCUUACAAGACAACACUCGUCUUUCUUAUCGCUGCAACGGUCUCGCCCGUCCUCAUCAGCUCUGAAGGUUGCGAUUUCGAACCGGCCGGCCACCUCCUGAUCACUGGUUGACAAUUAUGAUUCAUGCCAAUACUCAAAGUGUUGCAUAUCUUGACUCAACGAAUGACUUUAUCCGAACUGAUAUUAUGAAAUGUAUCCAAAAUGCUGUGGACAUGUACAGGAUCGAAAAAAAUAUACGAAACAAGGGUCCAGUAAAAAUCAACCAAUACACGUGUCGACAAGAAUGGAUGGAGUACAAUGUGGUUAUUAUGUUAUGAAGAUUAUUCAGAGUUUCAUGACGGUUGUUAAUCCUGCAAGUUUUUUGAAAAAUCAUUUCAAGUUAGACGCUCCCUAUAGUAACGAGGAGAUCAAUGCGGUACGGGAUGAGUUUGCCGAAUUUGUGAAGCCAUUGAUUAUAGAUUAAGUACUUAAGGUUACUACACUUUUGAUAUAAUACAUGAGUAACAAGUUUUAUGAUUAUUGUUAUCUUUCGCAUAUAUUAUUAGUUUAUAUUUAGUUUACGAUAUACAUGGAAUUUAAGUUUUAGAAUCGAUUUUAUUAACAAUUUUGGUAUUGUGUGAUUAGUUAAUAGAAUCGAUUACUAAUUUAAUAUAAGUUUUAAAAAUGUUAUUUUAA